AGGUGGAUCGCUAGGUGUGAUUUGAAAGACAACCACUUACACCAGGAAAUGAAGAAAUUCCAGAUUCAAAAGAAACUACUGAGGCCAUCUGGGAAAUCUUCAUGGAGAUUUUUUAGCACUUACUUUGCGUGAUCAAUCUCUUGCUAUUACUAAAUGACUGUGUGUUUAAGCUUCAGUGUUACAAAGUAGCAGGAUGGAGCACUUUAGGAGCCGAGAAAAUUGUUGAGGAAUGAUGGACAACAGAAGGACUCUCCUUAGGAAAUAUCAUGUCCACGGGGGAAAAGAAAGCCAGGCAGAUGGUAUUGAAGCACAAAAGUGGAUUUAAACAAGGAUUUAAAGUGGGAGACGGAGAGCGUUCGGAGAGCAGAAUAUGGGAGCCUGUGCCAACUGUAGAGCAGGAGUGUUCAACCCGAUGCGAUGCUUAAAGUGGGACAAGGAAACUAUGGGCCCAGUUUCAUGAAGUCCUAGACACCUUCAACUCCAGUUGAUUUCGUCGGAAGUUCAGAGACUUGCAGAGGCCUGACGGGGACAGUUAACAGGAACGACUGGGAGGAAGUGAGAGGUCAUGGAUGCUGGCAGUCAACUAAGAAUCUCCUCAUGUGCCAACCUGGUAUAGAGGAUGGAACCAGCCAUUUCCUUGCUGCCGGCCAAGAAGAGGCAUGCACCCAGGUCUCCUCUCCAGAGGCCAUGUUCAGGGUUGCGACCUGCAAGUUCAGCAAAACCUAAAACCAAAUUUCUUUGGCAUCAUCCACCCUUACUCAAGUCCAUAUUGUCAGGGAAGGAAACGGCAAUAGGAGUCUCUCCCCAAGAACCUAGCAUUCACAGUAGACAUCCUUAAAGCUUCCCUCUCUUCAAAGAGUGCUCAGAUCCCUAAGACUCAUCUUCAACACAAGAUGCUACUAGCCUACAUACUUCAAGGAUCCAUGUGCCUGCCAUACUUUCAAUGUUUUGUCUCCUUUUCUUCCAAUUCCAGAUAAUCAUGGACUGGAUGAACGAAAGUGACACAUUGUUAGUAUCUGCCAUAACCUGGCUUUCAAAUUCUAAUUCACAUGCUAGAAUUAUCAAUAACAAGGCAGUGUUCAACAAAUAUUUCUGUUCUGUACUUGGGGAAAAACAGAUGAUAUCGUUUCAUCAGAUGAUGAUGAUAAUAUUCUUUCCAUUCCACAGACAUUUUAAAAUCAGCAGGUCCAGAUAACUUGCAUCCAAGAGUUCUAAAAGAGCUGGAUGAGGAACUGACUGGACCAUUAAUGUUGAUUUUUAAUGCAUCUUGGAGCACCAGGGAAGAUCCUGGAUUCCAACAUAAUGGAGCAGCUGAUACGGGACUCCAAUUAAGAAAGAGUUAAAGGAGGGUAGUGUAAUUAUUUCAAAUCAACAUGGAUUUGUGGAAAAUAGAUCCUGUCAAGCUAAUGUCUUUUUUUUAAUGAGAUUACAAGUUUGGUUAUUAAAGGUAAAAGUGCUGACAUAAUA